rnacentral:rRNA from 1 species
GGAGUUAGCCGGUGCUUCUUCUGUGAGUGAUGUCCUUCCUGCCGGCUAUUAACCCGCAGGCCUUCUUCCUCACUGAAAGUGCUUUACAACCCGAAGGCCUUCUUCACACACGCGGCAUGGCUGGAUCAGGGUUGCCCCCAUUGUCCAAUAUUCCCCACUGCUGCCUCCCGUAGGAGUCUGGGCCGUGUCUCAGUCCCAGUGUGGCUGAUCAUCCUCUCAGACCAGCUACGGAUCGUCGCCUUGGUGAGCCGUUACCUCACCAACCAGCUAAUCCGACAUAGGCUCAUCCGAUAGCGCGAGGCCCGAAGGUCCCCCGCUUUCCCCCGUAGGGCCGUAUGCGGUAUUAGCCUGGGUUUCCCCAGGUUAUCCCCCACUACCGGGCAGAUUCCUAUGCAUUACUCACCCGUCCGCCGCUCGCCACCAGGGAGCAAGCUCCCCGUGCUGCCGCUCGACUUGCAUGUGUUAGGCCUGCCGCCAGCGUUCAAUCUGAGCCAGGAUCAAACUCUGA